UACGUAGGUGGCAAGCGUUGUCCGGAUUUACUGGGCGUAAAGCGCGCGCAGGCGGACUGGUCAGUCCGGGGUGAAAUCUCACGGCUCAACCGUGAGCGGUCCCCGGAUACUGCCAGUCUUGAGGUGUCUAGAGGAGAGCGGAAUUCCCGGUGUAGUGGUGGAAUGCGUAGAUAUCGGGAAGAACACCAGUGGCGAAAGCGGCGACCUGGGUAGAUACUGACGCUGAGGCGCGAAAGCGUGGGGAGCAAACAGG
rnacentral:rRNA from 1 species